AAACAGAAAUAUCCAAGAAAACAACUAUAGUCCCAGGUUACCUGGUUGGUAGCUGGUACAGUGGGGCCAGAGCCCACACACAAGCAUUUCCCAGGACACUCUGGGAACAGUGGCAUUACUUGGAUGGAUGGUGGCCCCACCUGCCUCUCCUCUGUCCUGUGUGUGAGUCCACACUAAUGUUUGAAAAAUCCCUGGAGGCCAGUUU
rnacentral:lncRNA from 1 species